GAUGAAGAACGUAGCGAAAUGCGAUAAGUAAUGUGAAUUGCAGAAUUCAGUGAAUCAUCGAAUCUUUGAACGCACCUUGCGCCCUUUGGCCAUUCCGAAGGGCAUGCCUGUUUGAGUAUCAUGAACACCUCAACUCUUUAUGGUUUUCCAUGAUGAGCUUGGACUCUGGGGGUUUUGCUGGCUCACAGUCGGCUCCUCUAAAAUGAAUCAGCUUACCAGUGUUUGGUGGGUAUCAUGGGUGUGAUAACUAUCUACGCUUGUGGUUUUUCCACCAGGUAACCUUCAGCAGUGGAGGUUCGCUGGAGCUCAUAGAUGUCUCUCCUCAGUGAGAACAGCCCUUUGAAUGUUUGAUCUCAAAUCAGGUAGGACUACCCGCUGAACUUAAGCAUAUCAAUAAGCGGAGGA
rnacentral:misc_RNA from 1 species